rnacentral:lncRNA from 1 species
UUUAAUGAACUCUAAUUUUACUUGUAAGCUGAUUUUUCAAAUUUUUUUUAACGAAGAUGAAUCAGAUAAAUUAGAUAUUUUAACAUGAUGGAAAAUAUAUGAAAAUACAUAUCCCGUAUUUUCUGUCAUGACACGUGAUCUAUUGUCACACCCCAAUAAUCCCACAUCGGAUAUGAAUGGGGCUGUGAUUGGGUAUAUAAAAGACUUAUAUAUUAGUAAUAAUAACUUGGUUUAAGCAUUUUGGGCCGGUGUUUCGGCCAAACGAGUUAUUGUUGCUAGUGGGCUGAAUCGUUACAUUUGGUAUUAGAGCCAGUUCACCAGCCGAAAAUAUGUGGCGACUCGUGAUCUUGGGCUGUGUGUGUGAUGGUCUUAACGGAAUAAUCCCACAAUAGACACUAGUAAUAAUAACUGGCUUAAGUAUUUUGAGCUGGAAUAAUCCCACAAUAGACACUAGUAAUAAUAACUGGGCUUAAGUAUUUUGAGCCACGGAAUAAUCCCACAAUAGACACUAGUAAUAAUUACUGGGGUUAAGUAUUUUUAGCCGGUGUUUGGGCCCAAUAACUAGAAUUAAGAGUGCAAGACAAUUGAGAUUAUGAGUCUACAUUUUUAGAUGAAACAGAAUCAACUAUCUAAAAUUACACCAACGCUUGCGUCUUGCUAGAGUGCAAUCUCUUUGAUCUCAUCGCUGUCGCCUAUUAUUCGUUACGCCUCUCCUUUUUUAUUUGGUAUCUUUCUUUAGUAGGCAUCUCUUUUUUUAAGUUAAAAAAAAUGAUGUAAUGAAGAAAAAAUUAUGUUGGUUUUUUUUUUU